rnacentral:rRNA from 1 species
GAUGAACGCUAGCGGCAGGCUUAAUACAUGCAAGUCGUGGGGCAGCGCAGUGUAGCGAUACAUGGGCGGCGACCGGCAAACGGGUGCGGAACACGUACGCAACCUUCCUUUAAGUGGGGGAUAGCCCAGGGAAACUUGGAUUAAUACCCCGUAAUACUAUGAAGUGGCAUCACUUUAUAAUUAUAGCUCCGGCGCUUAAAGAUGGGCGUGCGCCUGAUUAGGUAGUUGGCGGGGUAACGGCCCACCAAGCCUUCGAUCAGUAACUGGUGUGAGAGCACGACCAGUCACACGGGCACUGAGACACGGGCCCGACUCCUACGGGAGGCAGCAGUAAGGAAUAUUGGUCAAUGGACGCAAGUCUGAACCAGCCAUGCCGCGUGGAGGAUGAAGGUCCUCUGGAUUGUAAACUUCUUUUAUUUGGGAAGAAACCCACGAUUUCUAUUGUGGUUGACGGUACCAGAUGAAUAAGCACCGGCUAACUCCGUGCCAGCAGCCGCGGUAAUACGGAGGGUGCAAGCGUUAUCCGGAUUCACUGGGUUUAAAGGGUGCGUAGGCGGGCAGGUAAGUCAGUGGUGAAAUCUCCGAGCUUAACUUGGAAACUGCCGUUGAUACUAUCUGUCUUGAAUGCUGUGGAGGUAAG